GGGAUUGUGGCUCAGUGGUAGAGCAUUUGCCUCGCAAGUAUGAGGCUCUGGGUUCAAUCCUCAGCACCG
rnacentral:tRNA from 1 species